ACCGAGGAGUGUAACUUGUACGCGAGUCAAAGGGUGGAAAACCCCAAGGCGUAAUGAAAGUAAAGGUCGGUUAACCGGCUGACAUGGGAUCCGUUUCGUUUACGAAGCGGCGCACCAUGGCCCUGUCUUGUCUGCUUGCAGAUGGGCAGCGGUAGAGCGUACAGGUUGCGACCCGAAAGAUGGUGAACUAUGCCUGAGCAGGACGAAGUCAGAGGAAACUCUGGUGGAAGUCCGUAUCGGUUCUGACGUGCAAAUCGAUCGAUAGACUUGGGUAUAGGGGCGAAAGACUAAUCGAACCAUCUAGUAGCUGGUUCCCUCCGAAGUUUCCCCCAGGAUAGCUGGAGUUCAUAGCGGUUAUAUCCGGUAAAGCGAAUGAUUAGAGGACUUGGGGUCGAAACGAUCUCAACCUAUUCUCAAACUUUCAAUGGGUAUGUUGUCUCGGUUUCUUCAUUGAACUGUUGACACGAACGCGAGCUCCAAGUGGGCCAUUUUUGGUAAGCAGAACUGGCGCUGUGGGAUGAACCAAACGUUGGGUUAAGGUGCCUAACUUUUCGCUCAUGAGACCCCAUAAAAGGCGUUGGUUGAUAUAGACAGCAGGACGGUGGCCAUGGAAGUCGGUACCCGCUAAGGAGUGUGUAACAACUCACCUGCCGAAUCAACUAGCCCUGAAAAUGGAUGGCGCUUGAGCGAGAGACCUAUACCCAACCGUUGCUGGCUUGUGCGUUGUCUAGCGCCUGGCCGCAACGAGUAGGAGGGUCGUGGCGGUUGCGUCGAAGGCUUUGGGCGUAGGCCCAGCUGGAGCUUCCGUCAGUGCAGAUCUCGGUGGUAGUAGCAAAUAUUUAAGUUCGAUCCUUGAAGACUGAAGUGGAGAAGGGUUCCACGUGAACAGUAGUUGAAUGUGGGUCAGUCGAUCCUAAGAUACUGGCUUAUGCCUUGUAUCAUCGAGAGGGAAAAGUCUCUUUUCUCUCGGAUAUCAAAAGGGAAUAGGGUUAAUAUUCCCUAACGCAGACACAGAGAUUGUGGCUCUUUGAGUCACUUGCGCGGUAACGCAUUCGAACUUGGUUACGUCGCUCAGAGACCAAGCUAGAGUUCUCUUCUCUAGUUAAGGAACGGACUCCCUGGAAUCGGUUCAGUUAACGAGAUACGCUACGGAAAUCGUCAAAGACCAGAAUAAUUAACUGAGAAAAGCAAGUAACUCACUCGGGAUGCGCGACAUAGCAGUUUGCCAAAGGGCACGUAAAAAGACUUCGGAUGCGUUUCUUUAGACACCUCGACAGGGC
rnacentral:ncRNA from 1 species